rnacentral:rRNA from 1 species
UACGUAGGGGGCAAGCGUUAUCCGGAUUUACUGGGUGUAAAGGGAGCGUAGACGGUAUGGCAAGUCUGAUGUGAAAACCCGGGGCUCAACUCCGGGACUGCAUUGGAAACUGUCGGACUAGAGUGUCGGAGAGGCAAGUGGAAUUCCUAGUGUAGCGGUGAAAUGCGUAGAUAUUAGGAGGAACACCAGUGGCGAAGGCGGCUUGCUGGACGAUGACUGACGUUGAGGCUCGAAAGCGUGGGGAGCAAACAGG